rnacentral:tRNA from 1 species
ACGUCAGUAGCUCAGUUGGUAGAGCAGCGGAUUCCAAAUCCGCCGGUCGGGGGUUCAAGUCCCUCCUGGCGUGCCG